GACGAACGCUGGCGGCGUGCUUAACACAUGCAAGUCGAACGGAAAGGCCCUGCUUUUGUGGGGUGCUCGAGUGGCGAACGGGUGAGUAACACGUGAGUAACCUUCCCUUGACUUUGGGAUAACUUCAGGAAACUGGGGCUAAUACCGGAUAGGAGCUCCUGCUGCAUGGUGGGGGUUGGAAAGUUUCGGCGGUUGGGGAUGGACUCGCGGCUUAUCAGCUUGUUGGUGGGGUAGUGGCUUACCAAGGCUUUGACGGGUAGCCGGCCUGAGAGGGUGACCGGCCACAUUGGGACUGAGAGACGGCCCAGACUCCUACGGGAGGCAGAAGUGGGGAAUAUUGCACAAUGGGCGGAAGCCUGAUGCAGCAACGCCGCGUGCGGGAUGACGGCCUUCGGGUUGUAAACCGCUUUCGCCUGUGACGAAGCGUGAGUGACGGUAAUGGGUAAAGAAGCACCGGCUAACUACGUG
rnacentral:rRNA from 1 species